UACGAAGGGGGCUAGCGUUGUUCGGAUUUACUGGGCGUAAAGGGCGCGUAGGCGGAUUUUUAAGUCAGGGGUGAAAUCCCAAGGCUCAACCUUGGAACUGCCUUUGAUACUGGGAAUCUUGAGUCCGGGAGAGGUGAGUGGAACUGCGAGUGUAGAGGUGGAAUUCGUAGAUAUUCGCAAGAACACCAGUGGCGAAGGCGGCUCACUGGCCCGGAACUGACGCUGAGGCGCGAAAGCGUGGGGAGCAAACAGG
rnacentral:rRNA from 1 species